UGGGGAAUAUUGCACAAUGGGCGAAAGCCUGAUGCAGCGACGCCGCGUGAGUGAAGAAGUAUUUCGGUAUGUAAAGCUCUAUCAGCAGGGAAGAAAAUGACGGUACCUGACUAAGAAGCCCCGGCUAACUACGUGCCAGCAGCCGCGGUAAUACGUAGGGGGCAAGCGUUAUACGGAUUUACUGGGUGUAAAGGGAGCGUAGACGGCGAAGCAAGUCUGAAGUGAAAACACAGGGCUCAACCCUGGGACUGCUUUAGAAACUGUUUUGCUAGAGUGUCGGAGAGGAAAGUGGGAUUCCUAGUGUAGCGUUGAAAUGCGUCGAUAUUAGGAGGAACACCAGUGGAGAAGACGGCUUACUGGACGAUAACAGACGUUGAGGCUCGAAAGCGUGGGGAGCAAACAGG
rnacentral:rRNA from 1 species